CAGUAGCCGCGGGAAUACCAGCAGCCCAAGUGGUGGUCGCGAUUAUUGGGCCUAAAGCGCUCGUAGCCGGGCCGGUAAGUCCCUUGUGAAAUCGGACGGCCUAACCGUUCGGCGUGCAAGGGAUACUGUCGGUCUUGAGGCCGGGAGACGUCCGAGGUACUCCGGGGGUAGCGGUGAAAUGUUCUGAUCCUCGGGGGACCACCGGUGGCGAAGGCGUUCGACGAGAACGGGCCUGACGGUGAGGGGCGAAGGCUAGGGGAGCAAACGGGAUUAGAUACCCGCGUAGUCCCUGUCUCUUAUA
rnacentral:rRNA from 1 species